UGUGGCUUGGUUGAUCGUGGGUUGUUAGAUUGUACAAGUAAAAUCGGGAAAACACAACAGUGUAGGUUACAAGAAAUCAUACUGUGUCAAAGACGUUCAAUGAGAAACAAGUCCACAUCAUUGUGAGAAGCGAUGGGCUCUCUUUGAAAGCAACAGAUGAGGCAAAUUCAUCAAAAUGUAUCGAGCACAUGGUUGAAAGAAAAAUACAUGAAAGCAAAAGAACCAGUAAAGCAUAACAAACGUCUACUCUAUAAUGUGAACUUCAGUCGCCAUUUUGACCAUAUCAACGACUAAUUAUUGAUGAUAAUCACGAUGCUAUUUACUUAAAGUUUCAAGCCACUAAGUUCUUUCAAAACGAGGAAACAAGCAAACACGUUAAUUAUGAAGAGUCGCGAAGACAAAAUAGAAUAAAUAAUUGAAAAAAUGGUUGAUAUCAUGGUCAGAACGAUAGCAGCUUUCCAAAAUGAAAUGGCAGAUCUUUCCGGGGUUUCUUCAGAUGUCAUUAUUUAGAGAUGUUUGGUACCCCUGGCUAUGUUAUUAACCGUCGUUACGUGGAGUGGCAUUUCCAUGCUGCACAAGAAUUUAUCUAUAUCGUAUUUUCCUAAAAUUGUUUUUUUCUCAAGACCUAUUUGAUAUUUGAUGAUGAAUAAUUGCAUUUGUCUUCAUGCAUCAUUCGACAAAACUGGUUGUAUGCCAUUGAUGCGGGCGGAAGAAGUAAACACUGGAAAACAAGCAACUUAACUGGCGUUAAAAGAUCUUUAGCAUUUUGUAUGAACGUGAGUUAAUCCCCGUACAUAUUCAUGCAAGGAUUAGUAUCUGAUCCUGCUCAAUAGUCGAUUCCAUUAGCUACGUACGUCGAAGUUGCGCGGAACAACAAACAUAGAAACAACUAUUUACUGAUGUUUUAUCAUACGAUUUUCAGUUAAUGGGAAUAACACAAACCACUUUAUUGUGGUAGGCUUAUUUCUUUAAAUGAUGAAUAUGAUAGAACGGCAAGUAAUUUCAGUUGUG